CCUACGGGGUGCAGCAGUGAGGAAUAUUGGUCAAUGGUCGGGAGACUGAACCAGCCAAGCCGCGUGAGGGAGGAAGGUACAGAGUAUCGUAAACCUCUUUUGUCAGGGAACAAAGGUGGGGACGUGUCCCCGGAUGAGUGUACCUGAAGAAAAAGCAUCGGCUAACUCCGUGCCAGCAGCCGCGGUAAUACGGAGGAUUCAAGCGUUAUCCGGAUUUAUUGGGUUUAAAGGGUGGGUAGGCGGUCGGAUAAGUUAGAGGUGAAAUCCCGAGGCUCAACUUCGGAAGUGCCUCUGAUACUGUUCGGCUAGAGAGUAGUUGCGGUAGGCGGAAUGUAUGGUGUAGCGGUGAAAUGCUUAGAGAUCAGACAGAACACCGAUUGCGAAGGCAGCUUACCAAGCUACUUCUGACGUUGAGGCACGAAAGCGUGGGGAGCAAACAGGAUUAGAUACCCUAGUAGUC
rnacentral:rRNA from 1 species